UUUUAUCAUCAGGUUCAUUUCGAGCAAAAAAUGGUUCAAUUUUAAUUCUCGAAGAUAUGAACCCAAUUUAGUUUUUGAAUCACUUAUAAUUUAAUUAAAAUGGAAUAUUGUAAAUAUGCUAUCACUCCGUCAGGAUAACAAAUAUGAAUAAUUUUUUUUUCAAAUGUAAAUAUACAGAAAGAGAACAAGAAAUUGAUCGAGUUAAAUCCUUUAGAUUAUUUAAAAUUACAUUACUGCUAUUUUAUAUAGUGAUUAUUUUAAAGUAAAAUUUGAAGUUUGUAAAAAUCCACAUAACCUAAAAAAACAAUAUGCGAAUGAAUUUCUCCUCCAUCCCUCAAAAGAGGACAACAAUAGUAAUAAUAAAAUCUUUGUUAUGGGAAAACAGGGUCAACGGUCAACCCCACACAUUUGCCACCAUUUUUCUGUCCAUUGGUUUUCUUCUCUCUCUCUCCCCUUCACACACAAACUGGACGACCUUUUCAACCCUCUUCUUCCCCUGAUAUUUUUUUAGAAAACCAGCAUAAGGAAAAAAUAAGCCUAUCAAAAUCCAAAAUGAAGUAAUUAAGGAAAAGAAAAAUUAAAAAAACAAAAACACAAAGCGGAUAAUUCUCCAAUGUUGUCUUUGCAUCUUUUAUCGUUCUGAAACAAUUUUCAUUGUCUGUUUUCUCUGACGAAAACCAAUCAACAAUCAUCGUCACAAUCACAAUGGAACAGAACCUCAACGAUAAUUCUAGCAGUCUCCCUCCUAAAGAGGAGAACAUCAACACAGACCACACUACUCACUCGCCGGUCGUGGAAUCUGAAGACAAACCCGACGGCGAAACUGAAAAAGCCACAGAUUCAGAACAAGUUCUGGAAAAGGAAGAAUCCAAAGCGGAGGAGGAAAAUGAAAAGAAAGAAGAAGAAAAAGAACAAGAACAAGAACAGGAAAAAGUAGAAGAAGAAACCGUGGAGACUCAACCGGAAUCUCCGGCUCCGAGUCUCGAGAAGGUUACAGAAGAGAUUGACCAAUUUAUCUUGAGAUUACAAAAACAUGUCGAUGCCAAAGAAUCUACCUCAUUGGAAAUCCCUAAUUUCAUCCACGCUUUCUUGCAUCUGGUGGAACACAAGAUAGAGAAAUACGACACAGGUGAAACGAAAUGGGGACAAACAAUUGAAGACGAUUCGUCGCUUUUGGAAUGCGCGAAUCGCAUUUCGAGGCUGAUGAACCAUUUCAUAGAGUACUCGCGGUCUCACACACAGGAACAACAAGAGGACGAGGAGAAGGAGAAGGAGAAGGAGAUGGGCGGAUUAGACUUCGUUAUCAACGGCAUCAGCGUGAUUCAGCAGCGCGUGAUAUCGUUUUUGGAGGACGAGUUCCGUACACUGAUGGAAGAAUUUAGAAACCCAAACAAACCAGAUUCAAAGGGGAAACAACAGGUGGCAGACUCCUCAGAGUCAGAGACACCAGAAGAAACCAUUCCCGAAUUCCCAGGUUUCGCGGAGGAAACCAUUGCGAAUCUGAACAAAAUCGCCAAGCAAAUGAUAGCCAGCGGUUACGAAAACGAGUGUUGCCAAGUGUACGCAGUUUCGCGGAGGCACGCGUUCGAGGAUGGCAUGUACAAACUUCUAGGGUACGAGAAGUUCAGCAUAGACGAGGUUCAGAGAAUGCAGUGGGAGGCACUGGAGCGCGAAAUCCCCACAUGGAUCAACACCUGGAAGGAGUGCACCUCCGUAUGGUUCCCCGCCGAGAGAAAGCUAGUGGAAAUGGUGUUCGGCGACGAAGCCGAGACGGUGCUGAGCCUCAUGGGCAACAUCUCCCGCACAAUUGUGAUUCAGCUGCUUAAUUUCGGGGAGAGCAUAGCCAUGACAAAGCGCGCAGGGGAAAAACUGUUCAAACUCUUGGACAUGUACGAGACUCUACGAGACGCGAUUCCAAUAAUGGAGAACUUGUUCCCGGACGACAUAAUGGGGGAAAUCAAGGCAGAAACGACAUCCGCAAAAUGCCGCCUCGGCGAGGCGGCGGUGUUGAUAUUCUGCGACCUGGAGAACUCGAUUAAAUCGGAGACCGGAAGAACUCCGGUGGCGGGGGGCGCGGUGCAUCCCCUGACACGUUACAUCAUGAACUACCUAAGGCUAGCGUGCGAGUAUAAAGACACAUUGGAGGAAGUGUUCAAAGAGCAUUCGAAAAUCGAGCGCGCGGAUUCAACCAGCAGGCCUCGCCACGAAAGCGAGGAGAGCAAAGCGAAGAGCGAGAGCAAACAGAAAGAGGACGUGUCGCCGUUUGCCGCACAGUUAAUGCGGGUGAUGGAGCUUCUGGACUCGAAUCUGGAGGGGAAGGCGAAGUUGUACAAGGAGGUUGCGUUAAGCUGCAUUUUCAUGAUGAACAAUGGAAGGUACAUAGUGCAGAAGAUAAAAGGUUCAGCAGAGAUAUACCAGGUGAUGGGAGAAACGUGGUGUCGUAAGAGAUCGACGGAGCUGAGGACUUACCACAAGAACUACCAGGUGGAGACGUGGAGCAAGAUUCUGAGUUGCCUGAGCCCGAAAGGAUUGAGCGAUCACGGGAAGGUGCAGAAGCCGGUGCUGAAGGAGAGGUUCAAGGGGUUCAACGCAGCGUUUGAGGAGAUCCACAAGACGCAGAGCAUGUGGGUAGUUAGCGAUGAACAGCUUCAAUCGGAACUUAGGGUUUCCAUCUCUGCCCUCGUGAUUCCUGCCUACAGAUCCUUCUUGGGGAGGUUCUCACAGAUUUUGGAUCCUGGCAGACAAACCGAGAAGUAUAUCAAGUACCAAGCUGAGGAUAUUGAGACUUACAUUGACGAUUUGUUCGAUGGCAACCCACACACCCGUCGCUAGCUACAGACCAACAACACCACUCCGCACCACACAUCACAUCACACUUCAAUGUAUUAUCAAUCAAAUUCAUAGUAUUAUUAUUAUUAUGACCUUUCUUUUCUUUUGUAUACAUGCAGGAUUAAUUUUGUUAGUCUUUAGGGUUCGUGACUGAGUUGUAUUCAAUUUUUCAAGUCACCCCAUUACCUUUUUCUUUUCUUUUU
rnacentral:lncRNA from 1 species